UGGCUCAGAGGUUAAAGCGUCUGCCUGCAAUGCAGGAGACCCAGGUUCAAUCCCUGG
rnacentral:tRNA from 1 species